UACGAAGGGGGCUAGCGUUGCUCGGAAUCACUGGGCGUAAAGGGUGCGUAGGCGGGUCUUUAAGUCAGGGGUGAAAUCCUGGAGCUCAACUCCAGAACUGCCUUUGAUACUGAGGAUCUUGAGUCCGGAAGAGGUGAGUGGAACUGCGAGUGUAGAGGUGAAAUUCGUAGAUAUUCGCAAGAACGCCAGUGGCGAAGGCGGCUAUCUGGACCGACAUUGACGCUGAGGCGCGAAAGCGUGGGGAGCAAACAGG
rnacentral:rRNA from 1 species